rnacentral:lncRNA from 1 species
CCUUUAUUCACUUGUACCAUUUUGCACCAAAAUGGUGCAAGAUUUGGUGUUGGGUUGGAAUGGUAUUUUGGUGAAAAAUGGUAAAAUUUAGUAGAAAAUGAUGGAAUGGUAUAUGGGUUGGAGUUGCUUUAAGAGUAUAAUAUAUAAGUUUGAUAGUAUCUUAGAAAGCAAAGUGCUAAUAGAAAAUUAACAUACAAACAUUAAAUAGUCCAACCAAUGUUUGCGGCAUCGAUAAAAUAAAAGUGAGAUGAAGAUCAAUUAAUUACAGAAUCGCGUCACAUAAUUAAUUUCCGUCGCCUCAUAUGUCACACUUGCUUACCAGUAAAUUAGACCUCGAUCGAGCUGACAUUUUUACCUAUGGAUCGCAUGUUCUUCUCGACUCCUUGGCGAUCAAGGUUCACAUUCUCAGGAUAGACACCAUCCUUAGGGUGCCAAUAUUGCACCUCACCAUUAGGAAACUCUGUAAAAUUGGUAAUUAAUCUUGUACUUGGACCUCAAUCUAGUCCCAAGAGCCAAACACUAUUCUUUCCGAGCCAAUUUCAAUAGGUUAGGUCCCCGCCGCAUAACGGCGGCGCCACCAGUUGGCAUUUCAGAAAUUUGUUCCUUAGGUGCAAUAGUCCACUGGUGCUACCACCAAAAAUUUUGGUGAUGGGGUAUUCAGGUCCAGUUCCGGAGGAGUGAAGUUGAUCGGAGCCUCUUUCUUCACCUCUUUCGUGGCAGGCGCUUCCUCGGUCAUGGCCCUUAUAGGAUUGUGUGCCACGAUGGACUUGAUCGGCCUAGGACUGAUGAAUGAUGCAAGCGACUGAGAGAGGAUUGAUUCCACAGCAUUGCCACCCGAUCGUCGCCAAAGAGGGCUGGGAUAAAGAGGUAGGCUUGAGUUGCCAUGGCCAUGAAAGAAUUUGGUGUUGCUUAGUUGAAUGUGAUGAAAAAAAUUAUCAAUAUUUGUCAACAAAAAGGUUUACAUUUUUUAGUUGGAUUUUUAUUUUUUCACAAGUUCGGACAGUAG